CUGAGUUGGGUGACCUCCCGGGAAGUCCAAACUCAAAAGCUUACAUUUGGUAUCGGAGCGGUCUUAGGUCCGACUCUAUUGGUUGGCUAGGAUAAUCACACCACAUGUUGAUUAACAUCUGGCUGGUCCAGUUUGCUCCCGCUGGGCUCGACUCGAGGGGUAGGGUGUCAAGAGAGCAGGGCUCUCGGGAGAGUUGUGGCUCUCAGCUUCCAUUCACGAGGGCGUGAACUUGCAGGGAAGCGUGGUAGAUUGUAAGCAACCAAAGGGAACGACUUGAGAAACGGUCCAUAAGGUUCAAAUAUAGAGGGAAAGGGCCCAUGAACAAGAGUGCACC
rnacentral:lncRNA from 1 species